GGUGUGUUCAAGAAGUUAGUUUAGCUAGGCAGAUAGUGCAUAGUGCGAUUUUGGCGGUUUUCUGGUGCGAGCGUAGACUUGCGGAUAAAGCGAUUUGUGGCAAGUUGCGGAAGCCCGGCACACCACCACCCCCCGUUUUAAGAACGACCGUUUUCGUCCCGCCCUCCUGCUACGAAGACGUGUACCCGGCGGUACACGUGGCCGGAGAGGGCAGCGUACGUUAUUCCCGCGCCCUAGGCAGGGCAGUAGCAACGGGUCCGGCUUUGAGCCGGCCAUCGUCAAUUUUGAAAGUGUCCCGAGUGGAAACCAGCGUCCAAAAAGUUUUUUCGUUCGGAUUCGAUCCGGCGACGACCAGCGUGGCAAGCACGACCGAGUCCACUACACCACCGGCGGUGACGAUCGUCGGUGCGACGGCCGUACCCCGUCGAGAAGACCACAGAUCCCCGUGGGAGGCGCCGUUUGAGAACGGCCACACCAGCGUAGUCGAGUAGGUGAUUCCCACCAGGAGUCAACGGGAGAGCGCGUGUUGCACGCGCGCAGAAUUGCACCGUAGCCGCAAAUGCCCCCACGUAGAUAGACAGCGUCCAAACCGUAAGUAGCAUGCAUGCUUUCUUUUUCCCAUGCGCAUGGUGAGAUCCUGCCCCUAGCCUUAGCCAAUCUAGCUAGCGUGGCCGCUGCAAAUUAGCCUCUACCGUUAGCCAUACGCGUAAGCGCCCGGCAGUAGGCUGCAGCAUAAAGUUUGAGUUGCCCCUUGGCGAAUGAAUACCGCACCGCACUUUGCCUGAGAACCGCACGAAUGAACUGUUAGCUAGGGAGUGAGAGGGAAAUGAAUUAGAAUAGGCCUAGAAUAAGUAUCUGAAUUCGAUGUCGAUAGAGUAGAAGUUUAAAUAUAGAUGCGUUGUUGAAUUGGUUACAAUAAAUGGGUUUUGAAUUACACUGCAACGCAAAUGUUUUUGUACACGAUACUGGGAGAAGUCUAAAGAGGUAGAUUUAGAGGUAUUUUCGCACUUUCGGUCGGUUUUGGUUCUUUUUAAGUAAUUUUGCUGGGGUGGUUGGCCCUGUUAACCAACCAAGGAUAUUCUCUUUUCUUUUGUGGCUGGAUUGAAUGUUUUUUGAAGUAAAGUCUUCCAGUGAUGAUACCCACCGCGAAACCCAUUUUUGUCACCGGCUAAUUUCAACUUGUCGCACACUAAUUUAUAGUUUUUUUUCCACGACUUCCCAGUCGUAAGCACCUUGUUCCCCUUGAUCAGCCAACUCGUUUCCCGCCCAAUCAUUUUUGGGAAAACUUUUACCCUCCCCUAAAAGGGUCUCACAGGUCGGGCAACCUUAAAAACGGUAAAUGGUCUCCGUAAGGAGUGGCGCUUAAGCCAUUUAACUAUCAUCCGGGAAACUCGUAAGGCUGUCGGGUUACAUUUGGCG